CUAAUUGACAUGCUCCUCAUUACCACCAACCCUUAUGAUUUCCACUAUGUGAGUCAAGGUGAGGUCACUGUUCCCAGUAUUGAUGACCAGGAAGAGCUCAUGGCUACACAUAGUGCCAUUGACAUCCUGGGCUUCACUGCUGAUGAAAAGACUGCCAUCUACAAGCUGACAGGGGCUGUCAUUCCCUAUGGGGAACUUGAAGUUCAAGCAGAAACAACGAGAGGAGCAGGCAGAGCCAGAUGGCACAGAAGUGGCUGACAAGGCUGCCUACCUGAUGGGUCUGAACUCAGCUGAAUUGCUCAAAGCCCUGUGUUAUCCCCGAGUCAAGGUUGGGAAUGAAUAUGUGACCAAAGGUCAAACUGUGGAACAGGUGAACAAUGCAGUUGGUGCCCUGGCAAAAGCUGUCUAUGAAAAGAUGUUCUUGUGGAUGGUUGUUCGCAUCAACCAACAGCUGGAUACCAAGCAACCCCGACAGUACUUCAUUGGUGUCCUGGACAUUGCUGGCUUUGAGAUCUUUGAUUUCAACAGCUUUGAGCAGCUGUGCAUCAACUUCACCAAUGAGAAACUGCAACAGUUCUUCAAUCACCACAUGUUCGUGCUGGAGCAGGAGGAGUACAAGAAGGAAGGAAUUGAAUGGGAGUUCAUUGACUUUGGGAUGGACCUGGCUGCUUGCAUUGAGCUCAUUGAGAAGCCCAUGGGCAUCUUCUCCAUCCUGGAAGAGGAGUGCAUGUUCCCCAAGGCAACUGACACCUCUUUCAAGAACAAGCUCUAUGACCAGCAUCUGGGAAAGUCCAGCAACUUCCAGAAGCCCAAGCCUGGCAAAGGCAAAGCUGAGGCUCACUUCUCCCUGGUGCACUAUGCUGGCACCGUGGACUACAACAUCUCUGGCUGGCUUGAGAAGAACAAGGACCCCUUGAACGAAACUGUCAUUGGGUUGUACCAGAAAUCAUCCGUGAAGACACUGGCUUUACUCUUUGCCACCUAUGGUGGGGAAGCAGAGGCUGGUGGUGGCAAGAAGGGUGGCAAGAAGAAGGGUUCUUCUUUCCAGACUGUCUCAGCUCUUUUCCGGGAGAAUUUAAACAAGCUGAUGGCUAACCUGAGAAGCACUCAUCCGCAUUUUGUACGAUGCAUCAUCCCAAAUGAAACAAAAACACCUGGUGCCAUGGAGCAUGAGCUGGUGCUGCAUCAGCUGCGGUGCAAUGGUGUGCUGGAAGGGAUCAGAAUUUGCAGGAAAGGAUUCCCCAGCAGAGUCCUGUAUGCUGACUUCAAACAAAGAUACAGAGUGCUUAAUGCAAGUGCUAUCCCAGAGGGACAGUUCAUGGACAGCAAGAAGGCUUCAGAAAAGCUCCUUGGGUCCAUUGAUGUGGACCACACCCAAUACAGAUUUGGUCACACCAAGGUGUUCUUCAAAGCUGGGCUGUUGGGACUCCUGGAGGAGAUGAGAGAUGACAAGCUGGCAGAAAUCAUCACUCGCACACAAGCCAGGUGCAGGGGCUUCCUGAUGAGAGUGGAGUAUCAAAGAAUGGUGGAGAGGAGGGAAUCCAUCUUCUGUAUCCAGUACAAUGUUCGUGCAUUCAUGAAUGUCAAGCACUGGCCCUGGAUGAAGCUAUUCUUCAAGAUCAAGCCCUUGCUGAAGAGUGCAGAAUCAGAGAAGGAGAUGGCCAACAUGAAGGAAGAAUUUGAGAAAACCAAGGAAGAGCUUGCAAAGUCCGAGGCAAAGAGGAAGGAGCUGGAGGAGAAAAUGGUGGCCCUGUUGCAGGAGAAAAAUGACCUGCAGCUCCAAGUACAGGCGGAAGCAGAUAGCUUGGCUGAUGCUGAGGAAAGGUGUGACCAGCUCAUCAAAACCAAAAUCCAGCUGGAAGCCAAAAUUAAGGAGGUGACGGAAAGGGCUGAGGAUGAGGAAGAAAUUAAUGCCGAGCUGACAGCCAAGAAGAGAAAACUGGAGGAUGAAUGUUCAGAGCUGAAGAAAGAUAUUGAUGACCUCGAGUUAACGUUGGCCAAAGUGGAGAAGGAAAAACAUGCCACUGAAAACAAGGUCAAAAACCUCACAGAGGAGAUGGCA